AAUGCUUUUCUGGAGAGCUUGUAAAACACUGCGUACAUCAAAUAAAUCUGCAGAAAUGACUAACCCAAAGGACAUGAAGUAGCUCCUUUUGGAGUCAACAUACACAGAUGCCAGUGGGAGAUAAGCAAAGGACUUUCAGAUAUUUUCUAGCUUCUGCAGAAAAGAAUCUGUGGAAAUCUGCUCUGUAACCAGACAGCUGAUUCAGCAAGAAAGAAGCAAUAAACAGUAGAAGUGUAAAAUCGUGACUGACCUUAACUGAAACUACAGGAAUGAAUGAAGAACCAUAUACCCUCUGACCUUCAGUGCCAGCAUAAUGAACCUUAAAACAUGGAGAAGAACAAGGAGUGGCAAAUGCUAUAUUUUCCCCCGGGAGAAAUAUGGGAAAUGGAAAUAAAGAGGACUGGCCUGCUCUGCAGAUCAUCAGCAGUUACUUUGCUGCCUACCCGUGUCACCUCUCCAAGGACUGCAACUGGGGGUACACCUUCUGGUUAACCUGAGGGUCUCACUCAG